ACGACGUCCAAAAGUACUUUUUACACUCUGACCUCGAUCAGGUAGGCACCCCCAU
rnacentral:rRNA from 1 species